rnacentral:rRNA from 1 species
UACGUAGGUGGCAAGCGAUACUCGGAAUCACUAGGCGUAAAGCGCAGGUAGGCGGUUUGGUAAGUCUUUUGUGAAAGCUCCCGGCUCAACUGGGAGAGGUCAAAGGAAACUGCUGAACUAGAGUUUGGUAGGUGAUACUGGAAUUCCUGGUGUAGCGGUGAAAUGCGUAGAUAUCAGGAGGAAUACCUAUGGCGAAAGCAGGUAUCUGGGCCACAACUGACGCUGAGCUGCGAAAGCUAGGGGAGCAAACAGG